CCUACGGGAUGCAGCAGUGGGGAAUCUUCGGCAAUGGACGAAAGUCUGACCGAGCAACGCCGCGUGAGUGAAGAAGGUUUUCGGAUCGUAAAACUCUGUUGUUAGAGAAGAACAAGGACGUUAGUAACUGAACGUCCCCUGACGGUAUCUAACCAGAAAGCCACGGCUAACUACGCGCCAGCAGCCGCGGUAAUACGUAGGUGGCAAGCGUUGUCCGGAUUUAUUGGGCGUAAAGCGAGCGCAGGCGGUUUCUUAAGUCUGAUGUGAAAGCCCCCGGCUCAACCGGGGAGGGUCAUUGGAAACUGGGGAACUUGAGUGCAGAAGAGGAGAGUGGAAUUCCACGUGUAGCGGUGAAAUGCGUAGAGAUGCGGAGGAACACCAGUGGCGAAGGCGACUCUCUGGUCUGUAACUGACGCUGAGGAGCGAAAGCGUGGGGAGCGAACAGGAUUAGAUACCCGGGUAGUC
rnacentral:rRNA from 1 species